GUAGGUGAACCUGCGGAAGGAUCAUUAGUGAAAUUCGGGAGUCCCUCCUAACCGGAGAAGGCCCAACUUACACUUAUUCUUUACACUGUGCAUUUGUCCCCCCUACCAUUUUUUUACACUUGGUGCCAACUGAAAACAGUGACUUGAUACAAACGAAAGUUGAUUAUUAAAAAGAAAAACUUUCAGCAAUGGAUCUCUUGGCUCUC
rnacentral:misc_RNA from 1 species